GCGGGAGUAGCUCAGCGGUAGAGCAGUCGACCCAUAAUCUUCUGGUCGCCGGUUCGAGCCCGGCCUUCCGGG
rnacentral:tRNA from 1 species